rnacentral:rRNA from 1 species
CACGCCUUAAACGAUGAUCACUUGGUGUUGGAGGUAUUGACCCCUUCAGUGCCGUAGCUAACGCGUUAAGUGAUCCGCCUGGGAAGUACGGUCGCAAGAUUAAAACUCAAAGAAAUUGACGGGGGCCCGCACAAGCGGUGGAGCAUGUGGUUUAAUUCGAUGCAACGCGCAAAACCUUACCUGGGCUCGAAAUGUAGUGGAAGUUGGUAGAGAUAUCAACGCCCGCAAGGGUCGCUAUAUAGGUGC